GGAGGUAGUGACAAUAAAUCACAAUGCGGAACUUCUGUUUUGCAAUUGGAUUGAGAACAACGCACAACACUUAUCGAUAAACAAUUGGAGGGCAAGUCUGGUGCCAGCAGCCGCGGUAAUUCCAGCUCCAAUAGCGUAUAUUAACGUUGUUGCAGCUAAAAAGCUCGUAGUUGAAGUGAAGUGUGAAUCUCUUGGAUUUUCGUUUGAAUUUCCUUUAGCUUCAUACUCUUUCCAAAUAGUUUGCAUGGGUAUUUACUUAUCUGUGUAUUGCAUUUGGUCAUUUACUGUGAGAAAAUUAGAGUGUUCAAAGCAUACGUUUGUUUGAAUACAUUAGCAUGGAAUAAUUCGAAAAGGCUUUCAUGUUCGAUUUGAUUGGUUUGUUCGUGAAGGCAAGAUUAAAAGGGACAGCUGGGGGUAUUCAUAUUCAAUAGUCAGAGGUGAAAUUCUCGGAUUUAUGGAAGAUGAACAAGUGCGAAAGCA
rnacentral:rRNA from 1 species